CGUAACGCGUAAGUACUUGCCCAAGGUAAGGAAUAACGUCGAGAAUCGGCGCUAAUACCUCAUAAUGCAGCGGAUCCGCAUGGAUAUGUUGUUAAAGGUUUACCGCCUUGGGAUAGGCUUGCGUCUGAUUAGCUAGUUGGUGUGGUAAUGGCACACCAAGGCUACGAUCAGUAACUGGUCUGAGAGGAUGAUCAGUCACACUGGAACUGAGACACGGCCCAGACUCCUACGGGAGGCAGCAGUGAGGAAUAUUGGGCAAUGCACGAAAGUGUGACCCAGCAACGCCGCGUGGAGGAUGAAGGUAUUCUAUAUCGUAAACUCCUGUGAGAGCAGACGAAAGACAGAUUAUUAAUUUGGAUGACUGUAUGCUCAGAGGAAGCCCCGGCUAACUACGUG
rnacentral:rRNA from 1 species